rnacentral:rRNA from 1 species
AACGAACGCUGGCGGCAUGCCUAACACAUGCAAGUCGAACGAGACCUUCGGGUCUAGUGGCGCACGGGUGCGUAACGCGUGGGAACCUGCACUUAGGUUCGGCCUAACUCUCCGAAAGGGGUGCUAAUACCGGACCAUGUCUUCGGACCAAGGAUUUAUCGACUUUGGAUGGGCAAGCGUUGGAUUAGCUAGUUGGUAGGGUAAAAGCCUACUAAGGCGACGAUCCAUAGCUGGUCUGAGAGGAUGAUCAGCCACACUGGGACUGAGACACGGCCCAGACUCCUACGGGAGGUAGCAGUGGGGAAUAUUGGACAAUGGGCGAAGUCCUGAUCCAGCAAUGCCGCGUGAGUGAUGAAGGCCUGAGGGUUGUAAAGCGCUUGUACCCGUGAUGAUAAUGACAGUACCGGGAGAGUAAGCUCCGGCUAACUCCGUG